rnacentral:rRNA from 1 species
CAAUAGCGUAUAUUAAAGUUGUUGCAGUUAAAAAGCUCGUAGUUGGAUUUCUGGUGGGAGCGAUCGGUCUGGCGCUUAGCGCGAGUACUUGCAUCGUCUCCGGCCAUCCUUGGGGAGAGUCUGUCUGGCAUUAAGUUGUCGGGCAGAGGAUCCUCAUCGUUUACUGUGAAAAAAUUAGAGUGUUCAAAGCAGGCUUAUGCCGUUGAAUAUAUUAGCAUGGAAUAAUAAGAUAGGACUUUGGUACUAUUUUGUUGGUUUGCGCACCAAAGUAAUGAUUAAUAGGGACAGUUGGGGGUAUUCGUAUUCCGUUGUCAGAGGUGAAAUUCUUGGAUUUACGGAAGGCGAACUACUGCGAAAGCAUUUACCAAGGAUGUUUUCAUUAA